rnacentral:rRNA from 1 species
GGGGGGUAUUGCACAAUGGGCGGAAGCCUGAUGCAGCGACGUCGCGUGAGGGAUGGAGGCCUUCGGGUUGUGAACCUCUUUCUCCGGUGGUGAAGGCCCCGCCCUUGGUGGUGGGGUUGACGGUAGCCGGGUAUGAAGCGCCGGCUAACUACGUGCCAGCAGCCGCGGUAAUACGUAGGGCGCGAGCGUUGUCCGGAAUUAUUGGGCGUGAAGGGCUUGUAGGCGGCCGGUCGCGUCCGCCGUGAAAUUCUCCGGCUCAACCGGGGGCUUGCGGUGGGUACGGGCCGGCUGGAGUGCGGUAGGGGAGGCUGGAACUCCUGGUGUAGCGGUGGAAUGCGCAGAUAUCAGGAGGAACACCGGUGGCGAAGGCGGGUCUCUGGGCCGUUACUGACGCUGAGGAGCGAAAGCGUGGGGAGCGAACAGGAUUAGAUACCCUGGUAGUCCACGCCGUAAACGUUGGGCACUAGGUGUGGGGCCCCGCUCGGCGGGGUUCCGCGCCGCAGCUAACGCAUUAAGUGCCCCGCCUGGGGAGUACGGCCGCAAGGCUA